GAUGAAGAACGCAGCGAAAUGCGAUAAGUAAUGUGAAUUGCAGAAUUCAGUGAAUCAUCGAAUCUUUGAACGCACAUUGCGCCCCUUGGUAUUCCGAGGGGCAUGCCUGUUCGAGCGUCAUUUUGACCACUCCCGCUUGCGGGGUCUUGGGCCUUCGCCUCUGGGCGGGCCUUAAAAUCAGUGGCGGUGCCGUCCGGCUCUAAGCGUAGUGAAUCUCCUCGCUAUAGGGUUCCGGAGGGAUGCUGGCCAACAACCCCCAACUUUUAAGGUUGACCUCGGAUCAGGUAGGGAUACCCGCUGAACUUAAGCAUAUCAAUAAGCGGAGGA
rnacentral:misc_RNA from 1 species